GGGGGAGAAAACCACACAUUGGAACUGAUAACGGAAUCAUACUAGUCCAAUCAUUAAAGACCCACUUGAAACACCUUUCAUUCUCCUUAUAUCACUCUCCCUUUAAGAAGUACUCAUUAUGAUGCUCUGAUGUGUGACUAAAUCGUCUGGUAAAUAUUAUUGGAAUAAUAUAUAUUUUCAGUUGUAACAAAAGCAAUUGUAAUCCAGAUGCAGUUGGAAAAUCUCUUCCUCUUAAGAACAAGUUUCUUCAUGAGUGAAAUGAAGACACCAAAGGCACCUAUCUUCUAAGAUUUUUUCGAAGAGG